GAGAAUGUGGUGUAGUGGUAACACACUCGCUUUGGGAGCGAGGGAGGCAGUCCGAUUCUGACAUUUUCG
rnacentral:tRNA from 2 species